ensembl:lncRNA
GAAAAAAAUUCUAAUUUAGCAUUUGAGUGACUGAUCUACACUCACUGCACAUGCACAUGAGUUUUACUUAUGGCUUCCUGGUUGUCAUCUUGACUUUCAUAAUGAUUUUACCUAUGAAUUUGUUUUCAGUGAGUGCAAUUUUGAGGUGACAUGGACCAUCUUCUGGGUGGUUGGGACCUCACUCAUUCAGUGUCACUUCCUAUAUCCUCCUGUUACCUGGGAUCUAGGAUGGCUUCUCAGUCGCUUCCCACCCGUUCAGCCUCCCCUUCUCCCUCUUUCCCGGUGACCAAGACUACCUUUCACCCAGGGAUUCAGCCAGAGAGAGCCCUCCUGUCCUUGGAGAAUCAAUCAUGGACUCAGCACAAGGAGGCCUUUGGCCUGUGCCAAUCCAGUGUCUCAUAGAGCAGACCGAUACCCUUCUUCUCCAGAGCAGGAGCCCAUUCAACAAGUGACUGGCCAGAACCUUUGGUCCCAGCUUCAUCCAGGCACUAAGUGCAUCCCAAAAGAUAGUCACAAUCCCUUUGGGAAGUGUCAGGACAUUGGGGAGAGGACACUGACUUUCGCACUGCAGCUAUAGCUCCAUAUAUUCAUUUUCCUCUGAAACCUACAAAUGACAUAGUGGCUUUGAUUAUAAAUUAUACACGUUUAAGUUGCAGUAGGAAUUAGAUGAAAUACAUCUGUAGAGUAAAUUCUAUCAUAAAAAAUAAGUUGUGAGUAUAGUUACUGGUCUUCCUAGUGACCCAUUCCUUUCCUAAUUUGCUCCUCUUUACUAAAUUAGGAACUGUAUUAAUGGAUAUAAAUGCAGGUCUGUAUCACUGGGUAUAUUUUCUUAUCACAGUCUACCCUAACUCAUUCUUAUGUAGUUGGUAUCUACAUUGAAUAAUCAUAAAAAAUAGCUAUUAAAAGGGAAAACUGAAAUAGGAGGAUUGAAAUUUCAAGCCUAGCCUGGAAAACUUAGUGAUUUAGUGAAUUCCCAUCUCAAAAUAAUAAAUUAAAUAGGUAGAUAGACAGACAGACAGACAGACAUAGACAGACAGACAGCCUGGGGAUGUAGCUUAAUCCCAAUAGCACAAAAAGAUGGCCAGGGCAGAGAUUUUUAGUUAGAUUCAGACCUAAUACUUAUGAAAAGCUCUUGCUGUGGAAGGAUGUGUCCUCAGUAUACAUGUGACAGUAUUGGUUGGAAUGGUGUACCUCAUAGGCCGUGUUUGUCAGACACAUAGAAACCCAUACUCUGGCCCACUUGCAAAGAGAAAGCAAGAAGUUGAAUCAGAUCAGUUGAAACCAACUACACAAUCUGACUCCUCCUCCCCACAGCAGACUCUGUCCGUGGUGCUGCCCAAUCUUUUCCUUCUUUAUCCCUUGGUUACUACAGCAGAGCCUGCUCUCUACCCGUGUCACCUCCAUGCUCCUGUGUAAGAAACAAAAGCUGACUUGUUAGCGGUUUAAUGUCUCAGAAAUACUCAUUAGAGGUAGGCUUCUAGUUAGUGUCAUCUCUUUUAUCUUCCUCAAAAAGACUCCAUGCGUUAAACUUAGGAAACAAAUUAUGACAUUCGGCUCUUCAGACAUAUAUGAAGUAGUGUGUUUUGUUGUACAAUAAUAUACUUAAAACUUAAUAUUAUAGCAACUAAAAAUCUGUUUUUUUAAAAAAGGAAAUUUCUUAAAAUAGUAACCAUUAUAGGCUACUAAAUUUUAAUUAUAUGACCCAAUUUUUCACUCAAGAAAAAAAUAAAAUUGAAAUGAAAAGUUCGUUACCUGGAGUUAUAGGUUAAUGUUAUAGAACAGAGACACAUUAUUUUGUAAAAAGAACCUGUCACUAUAAAAGAAAUGGUUAAAUGACUUUAGAUUGUAAAAUAUAAAUGGAGAUCUUUGGUAAAUAUAUGAAUAUUCUCUGAAUUUUGAAGUAGAAAACAUGAUAAUUUUAAACACAUAGUACCUUAUAGCAUUUUUAAAUUAAGAGUUUUAUUUUGCAAACAAACAGUAGAUAGUUCUGGAAUAAAUUAGAUAUGGAUUUGAAUCCCUUCUCAUGCGAUAAUCCAUAUAAAUGCAAACAUAUUGUGUAAACUCUUUGUAUGAAUGUAAUGUACAUUUUAAAUAUCUACCUCAUAAAGUUUGUAAAUGGGUAAUAUGGAUUAUUUAGAUACAAGUUAAGCACUCAACCAAUGCAGUUGUCUGAUUAAUAUUUUUUAUAUUUUUAGUGGCAUUAUUAUUCCCAGGAGACCACUGAAAGCAACUUUGUAGACAUCAUGAUAUGAAGAUUUUUAUCACUUACUACUUUUGUUUCAGAAGUCCUGAUUUCACCUAUAAGAUUAAAAUCAACCACAUCAAAUGACAUAUGAGAUUUGAAUUCUAUAGUAAGAAAUUUUAGGCUUACACAAAGUCAUUGGAUAUCCUAAGUUAGUAUAUAUUUACUGUUAUCAGGCUAGUGUGUGGGGAAAAGGACAACACAAAGAUAGAAAACGAGAAAAAAGGUAAAGGAUCGAGAAAGGUGAGUGUGGAUACAAGAAGAGUAGAGAAGAGGGAAGGAUAAACAGGCUAGGAAGGGAGUCACCACUCUUGGAAAUACACGAGGAAAAGAAGAAACCAGAACAAAAGAACAAAAGAUUUAUUAUGUUCAUUUAUUUAUUCUAUAUUUAUUUAUUCUAAAAACAGGGAUAAUCAAAAAGGAGAAUUAAAAUAAUUUAAAGAAAAGUAGCCACUUUCCCCACUAAUAUUAUUACUCUUUUCCACUGUUAAUUCUUAGUCGUUUACUUCCUUUUUUCUGGCUUGACAAACAAACCUCACACAUCUUUUCCUACUCGACCUUAAUUGCCCUCUGCAAAACACAGAGACACACACUCAGUUUUCUUUGAAAUUUUCCAGGAAUUUCAUGAAUAAAAAUCUAAGGAAUGGAAUAAGUGCCCUUCAUUUUCUCAAUACUUGCUUUUGAAAUUACUUGUAUUAUAUUAAUAGAAGAGUUAGGAAGUGAGAUAGAGAAGAAAUAACUGAAUGUUAAUCAUGAACACUCUUCUAAUAAUUUAGUUACUCUAUGUUGCCUUGUAAAAAUCAGAAAAUUAAUUGGUUAAAAGAUGUUGUGGAUGUACUUAAUGCUUCUUUAACAUGGAUCUAUUUAUACACACUAGGGAAGAGUAAUGCCUUAUCUUUAAUAUUUAAAAUUGUACAUAAUAUUACUUUUAAUGUAUUCAUAAAAAUGAAUGCAUACUUAUGGGCUCAUGGACUCUAAGGAAUAGUGGAUAAACAAUACAUUUUGUGUUACUAUUUCCAAACUCCCCACAAGCUUAAAACAUUUGUGUUCAAUAUAUACAUUUUUUAUUGACACAGCAAGUGAAAACCAGGAGGUUAAAAAAUGCUCUAGGGGAAAGUGUACUUCUAGAACCCUUAUUUUCUAGAUUUUUAGUUAAUAUAUUUUCUACUAUAUCAAAUGAUAUUAAGUGUAUAAUUAUGUGUUUUUGUGAAUGUGUGAGUGUGUGGAUGUCUCUGUGUGUAUGACUGAGUUCUUUUCAGGCCUCAUAUUCCAGUGGGUGAGAGGAAAUAGCAAUGAGAGCCCUUCCUGUCCUGUCCGUCUGCCAUGUUGGUACUCAUGAGUUGGGACUACAGUCACACAGGUGUGUGUAUAUUCUCAAAUCAGCAUGAAGGAUAAGAUAGCAGCUCAGGAAAACUCUUCUCACUAUUCACCUUAUUCCUGCUCUUCAAAGUGACCUUCUGUGUGCCAUUUAUUUUUCUUUUCUCACUAUUUUUCUUUCUUAAUUUUCUUCACCUUUAUACUUAGGUACCUUUGUCCACUCCUUCUUUCUGUUUUUAACCUUCUAUCCUCUGAGGGUUCCUCACUGCCAUGGUAUCGUACUUCUCAAACAUGUAAGUCGAAAAGGCAAAAUAAAAUCCUAUAUUCAGGAAAAUGAAAACCUCAUAUAUCAGGUAAUAAGUCAAUAUGUGAAUAUGCAAACACACCUAUAAAAUGCUGACUAAAUGAGAGUGUAUAUAAUGUGAGAUAGUACAUACAUAUCUUUUAUGAUAUAUAGUAAUACAUAUUCUUUUACAAUGCACCAUUACGGUUGCUGUGAAGUUUACAGUAUUUUAUAUUGCUUUCACAGAAGCAAGCUAAAACUUGCUUAUGUAAAUUUGUAAAUAAUUAUUACUGAAAUUGUCCAUUGGCAUUUCUAGUAUAUAUGACAAAUUGUGAUCUAUUAGUCAUCUUAUUUAAAAUGCUGUCCCAAUUUACCUUUUGCAAAUAUAACACAAUGGACAAGAACCAGAUCUAAAAUCAUACAUGUCUGAGUACCCUUUCAGGUCCACUGAUUAUUAUGUAACCUUGGAUGAGUGGCUUAAACUACUUUACUGUUUUAGGGAAUAAUUUCAGGACAUAAUUUCUAAGAUUGCAGCAAAAACUUCAAUAAUUAAAACAUACAAGACAAAUGAUCAUAAUUUAAAAAACAGUAUGAUAAUAUGCUUUAUAGCAUUGUGCUCCAAUUAAUUACUCAUUGUAGAUAUAAAUAGAAUGAAUACUAAAAUGAUAUUUAAGUUUAUAAUUGUUAAUGUUACAAUAGUCAAUUUUUCUAUAAGCUGAUUUUUUAAAAAUUAGCACAUAUCAAUAGGAAUAAAUUUAAGUUAUGUAUGUAACAUCACAUUCUAACCAGAUAUUCAGUGAAUAUAAACCUUUUUGUUUGAAUAUUAGUUUAUACACUUACUCUAUAUUUUGAUUUACACAAUACAAGAAAUAGGAUUCUACAAUAAAUGGAAGAUACAAUUCCAAGUGUUUCCACAGGCAUUGUUCAAAGCAUUCAAUUUGUUUGGUCAGUCCCUUUAAAUUCCUUAAAUUGGAAGGUUUCUGUAGAUUCUCAGAUGUACAAGUGUGUUUUUACUUUAAAAAUAGGAAAAGGGUUUAUCUGUUACUCAUACGUUCAGUGUCACACAGUUUGAUCUACAGAAGCUAUGUUAUGGUAAAAGAGGGGUUCAUGAACUACCAGAUCUGGCCUGAUUCUUUUUGUAAAUAAAAUUUUAUUGGAAUACAGUUUCAAAAAAAAAAAGGAAAUAUGUGGGAUCUAUAGCAAGAUUAAUAAAUUCCACUGGGAGCAAAAUAGAGAGUAAGAAAAAUAAGGAAAUAGAGAAGAUGGAGCAAUGGAAACAAGGCAUUAUGUUAUGACUACAACCAUGGCAAUUCAUUGACUGGAUAUUUUAGAUAAAGACAGAAAUCUAGAAGUUGCAGUCCUAUGUAUGGAGAAUCAUGAAAGUACUACAUCAUCUAUGCAAACUUUAACAAAAUAUUUAGUUGUUUAAACUUAAGUUCUACUAGAACACCUUUUUAUGAUUGAUAAGAGAAAAGAGCUCUUCUGUCUAAUUUGUAGAAAUGUAGAUAAAAGAAUAUGAAAUUCUCUUCCAUUUAUUUUCACACAUUUUUAUUGAUACUUACCUAAAACAUUUUAGCAUUUCCUCAUGCCAUUCAAUACAUUUUCCUAAUUAUGGAAGCCAUUUUUGAUAUUAAAAAAAUCCCUGAAACUUUUUACACAAAUCUGAUAUUUUGAGUACAUACUCUUAAAAGCUAUUUGCCAUUUUUUAAAUUUUCAAAAUGGUUUCAGUAGCAGCCACCCAAUAGUUUUAUUGAAAAAGACCAAAUUCCUGUUCCUCUAAAUUCUUGUUAGAGAUUUGGAAUAUUAGAAUACUUGUCUGUAUAAUUAAUAGAUAUCCAAACCAUUCAGAUUGUAAUAUAUAAUUUCACAAUACAUUUCCAUCAAAACAUAUGGUAAAAACAAAAUUCUGUCAGUAAAAUACAAAUCUAAUGUUUUAUAAAUUAUUUUUAAGUAUAAUGUGAAAUAAAUUAAAAAUGUCCUUAAAUAAUCUAACAAAUACUUCUUAAAAACACCAGAGGAAACCCAAAACAUGAAAAGAAUCAAGCAAUAUUAAUUAUUCAUAAGUGCUCUAGAUUUGACUGGAUGAAUUCAAUUGUCCUAUACAGAAUAAAGACAUUUAUAUUAAACUUUGUACCCCAAAAUAAAUCAUAACAUGAAUAUUUUAGAAACUUUCCACAUAGUUCUUAUAGAAGGAAAAAUCAGCUUACUUUUAAUAAAUCUUCAAAAACAAAUUUUGGGUAUUUCUGCUUAUUUCUUCCUAUUCCUUUGAAAUUGAAAAGUAAGAGUUUUUUAUAAUAUUAAUAUUCUUUUAAUCUUGUUUUACUAACUUUACUAUUUUUUGACUUUGUGGCUUUAGAUAAUAUAAUGGAUGUGCGUUUCAAAUUCCUGAGUAGUACAAGCGUCACAAUUCUUACAUUUACUCUCAUUUUAAAUCAUGAGGCUUAUAAGCAUUGUACACUUCAUCAGAAAUGGAGUAAGAAUAGUUGAUGGAAUGGAAAAAUAAACCUAUAGAUCAUUGAAAAUAUGAUGUUAGAUCCCUAAAAUAUCCUUACACAGCCAGUCCUGUACUGAGGUAGAUACUUUGCUGUUGGCAGUAGUUGCCAUGUUAUCCUUAAGAGAUGCCUUUGGGUGUUGAUGUUGAAAUGACUAAUGAAAAGUAACUGGAGUUUGGACUCUGAGUACUAGAAUUCAAUCAGAUAUACUAAAUUGACAGAAAAAAUAAAUUAAAAUGUAAUGUACAUGUGCCAACUCCACACAUGGAAUAUAAGCAUUAGGUACUGCAGACAUGGGGUAAUAAAAAUGAAAAAAAAAUUAAAACUGACAGAAUGUGAAAUAUUCCAUUCCAAGGCACUGUGAAAUUUCAGUGAUUAAUUCUGUUUUUACUGUAGAUAAAAUCAGGAAAGAGGAAAGGAGGAUGAUACUUGUAAAUCUUUCUAGAGGUGUUUAUAUUCCUUGGAAGUACUAAUAACUUGAAACUCCCAUUUUAUUAAUAUUAAAAACUCCCAUGUCAUUAGUAUUUGCCAUAUUUGCCAUUAAGAUCUUUAUAAUGUUGUAUACUUGAAUUCUUUUCUAUGCUGAUCAAAUUGACUGUGAAAAUAAAAAUAUGAUCUUUAUAGAUUACUAGGUAAUGCCUACUAAUACAUGGUAAUCAUAGGUCAUACUUCUAACCAGAUUGUAUAUUAAAAUAGUGCUAUUUUGCUACAUUCAAAUAACUAAAUUAAUUUUCAUUAGACAGAUCUUCCUGCUUUGUUCACAAUUUUUCACCCCUUGAUGGUUAAUAAUUUAAGUCCAAAAAGAGUACAAGGAAAAUGAAAUGCGAUUUUUAAAAUGUCAACUUCAGAGUAGUUCUCUAUGUAGCAUAAUAAGGAUAUUAAGUUACUGCUGGAUGGAUAGAGAUUUAGAAUUCCUUGAGAUAUUUAUACAAGAAAAAAACCUAGAUUAACAUUCUUUUAAAAGUUACAUAUUUUUAAAAUUAUCUGAUUAAUAAGAAAUUAAAAAAACAACUUAAGAAAACCUUUAUAGGAAGAUUACCAUAUAACUAACAGGGACCUUUCCUCUAAUUUUAAACCCUCAAAAUGUUAAUUCUAAACAAUUAGAAUUCUCACUGUUCUUAAAUUUUGUUAUAUUCCUUUUCUGGCACAAUAAUCAGAAAAUGGGUAAAUCCAAUGAAGGCAAAUGAUUUCAGCAUAAACACAAAUUGGCUCACAAAUUAGCUCUCAGGUUGCAGAAAGAAUCUUCAGACAGACUUAAGCCCAAGGAACAUUUGUACAAGUGCAGGAAAGCAGGGGAACAUAGUUACAUGUAAGAACCCCUAAUGCUGAUGCCCAGAAAACAUGUAGUGAAAUUGACGACAGGCUGCUUGAAAUACUGUCUUCUCAAAUUAUCUUAACUAUAGAUUUUUGCAUGCUGCUGAGGAUUUUAUUUAUUGGAGAAUCCAUUUGGAUAGCAUAGAUUAUCUUUCCUUACACCUCCACCCAUUAUUAUUAUUUUUUGUCACCUGAGAGAUAAAUGAAGAUCCCUAUGGGAUAUCACUUCUCUCUUUCUAAUGUAUUAUUAUUUGGAAAUAUCUUUGAUGAAAAAGCAGCAGCUUCUCACAUAUCUUUUAUUUGGACCUUUUAAUAUAGUGUCCUAGUUUUAUGUAGUGCACCAACUUGUUAUUAGUAAAAGGUGAGUGGGUAAAUAAAAAGGAGCUAUCUUUAUACUUUUAAUUUAUUCUCUGUAUAGAAAUAACAAUGGAAAAUUCAGUAUUCCAACUAUAUUAACUUUAAGAUUUUGCUUUAUGGUGAUAAUAUUACCAUUUUUUUCUAUUGAUAGAUGACUACCAUGAACAAUUCAAACAACAUAGAAAACAAGUAAGAAAAAUGUUAUAAAUCACAGAAAAUCUAUAUCCAUAAAUAAAUAGUGGAUUUGGUGAAGAAGAUUCCAGACAUUGCUGUAUGUAUAAUAGAUCCCAUCCCAGUUAUACAGAUUUACUUCCUUCUAAGUCUGUACAACAUAUAUCUGUAAGAGUGAAAGGCAAGUCUUUGACCUUCCUUGUGAAAACCCUUAGAACACAGUGAUUAUGUUUAAUACAUUUUAUCAAAUUCACUGCCUAAUUAAAAUAAUAAAAGCUAGAAAUGUGAAUGUUAAAUUUAAACUAAUAUAAGACGCAUACUGCAUAUAAAAAUCUUUUAUUCUAUAACCUAAAUUCUAAAAGACAGAAGUAACUUAACUAUUUCUUUCCAGCUCUUGGUUCCUAAAAAUCAAGACAAUGUAAGUAUAGGUAAGAUAGUAAUAUAUAGAGAAACAUAUUUUGCUAUUUGGGAUUUUUGUUUCUUUUCUUGAUUUCUUGCUUUUAAUUUCUAUUACAUUUUUGGUGUUAUUUAAAAGUAUGCCUUUAUGAUGUCCUGUAAAGAAAAGAAUGCCCAGAAGUAUGCAAAGCCUACAUUCAGAAGUUGUAGCUCUCAGAGUUUUCAUCUUUUUUAAUUAAAAAGAAAAAUUAUUUCUUGAUACAGUAGAAAAUUAUUUAAUAGCUCUUUUGUGUAAAUAUAUGUUAUAUUAAGAAAAAAUUAAAAUAGCAAACUACCUCAGGAUUUGUGUGUGUUGACUUGGUCAAAACAUUGGACUUGGCACAUGAGCAGUGAGCAUUUUAAGGAAAUAAUUAGCUUUUCAAAUACUUGACUGCCAGAAAGCCAUUUCUGCUGUACAAUAUACCCAGGGGCAAUGAAGCAUCCUAAAAGUUCCCUAAGUUGCUCCACUUUCUCAAUCACAAUCAUUUUUUUUUUUUUUGGUACCUGGGAUUGAACUCGGGAUCCGAGUGCUUGUGAGGCAGGUGGCAGAACCACUGAGCUAAAUCCCCAGCCCAAUCAGAGUGUUUUGUAAGUCAUUAUUUCCUUUACAUCCAUUUUUGUGAAGUUUAUGUUGGUUAAUUGGCCUGGGAAUUGAUCAGUCUUUAUGAUAAAUGUGGCUGCCAUGAAGGUUUCACUUGCUCUGAUAGAAAGCCUUACUAUUCCAAGUUGAAUGGCACUGCCAUUUUUCUUCUUGUUUAGAGAAGGCAAUUCUGUUUAUCUCCAGCACCAACUCAAAUGAAUUGGUGGUAGCUUUCUGCAGUGAUUUGUUUUCUUGAGAAGAAUAAAUGGAAUAGUGGGUAAAUGGAAUAGUGCUGUGAUCACUUUCCAUGUCUGCUGUUCUGCGAAAAGUAACAGAACUAUCCUUGCCUUCUGUUGACACCUCAGUUUCAGAUCCUCGGUCAUGGAAACACAAUCUCUUUGAAGGAUGGCAGUGCAACCUGAGUGGGUUUCUAGUUUUCUUCCAGGUUAAUCUUUGUAGUGUGUGUUGGGCUGGAAAGAGACAGUCAAAUACAUUGUUACCAUGAGUCAUGCCAAUAUCUGAGUAUAAUUUAAAUCCGAACCAUUUAAAAUUUUUCAAAAGCAAAUACAAUUGAUAUUAACAUAAAAAUAAAUCUGUCAAAAAGCCAAUUUCAGUAAUGAAAACUCUUUUGAUGCCGCUUGAGUACUUAAUAGAAAUUAAGAAUUAAAAAAUCACGUACACCUCGGUUCACAAAAUUCAUUCCAUGAUUCUGGAAAAGAUGGUCAUGUACAUGUUGAGUAGGAAAGAUGACAAUGAUUAUGUUUGUCACCCAAUGAAGAGUUCACAAACAAACAAACAAAAUUUUCCAAACACUUCUGUAUGGGAGCCAAAUUGCAAACAAAAGCAUUGUUCAUGAAACAAGGUACCACUGUAAAUGGAAAAGAAAACAUCUACACUACAUUGCAAUACUUAAUUGCAAGAUUACAAUUGCCUGGCCAUUCACAAUAAAGAAGAAACAGCUAUACAAGGCAUUUGUCUGUGGACUUUCAUUUUUUGAUCUAGUGGAGGAAGGAAUGGGAAACUACUACUGGAAAGAACAUCCUACUGGAGACAUAAAUUGAAUCACUCAAACACUUCCAUUCUUCUAGUGAUUAAGUUCAUUCCAGUAUUGUAAUGCUGAAAUAGAGAAAGAGAUAGAAGUGCUACAUUUGCACACAAAAUCAUUGCUAAACAGGAUUCAUGAACUAAUAAAGCAAAAUUGGGAUGAUUUUAUACAUUAUACUUCUAAUGUUAUAAGAAAAAUCAAUGGGAGCUCUAUUAUGAGAACUAUAAUGUGUGUUAGAAUCAAUAAUAUAAGUAUUACAUUUGUGGACUUAAAGAGAAACAAAGGUAUAUGCCUCUGUGUUAGUGUCCUUAUAAUUUAUAUCAUCUAGUUAUUUAUAACAUGGCCACACAUUAUUUAUCAGGAAUUAAACACAUGAGUAUGAUCUUCAGGAAGAAUUUGCAUGUGUGUAUCAAUAAACAUGUAAUGAUGAAUGUUCAAAUAGUCUUGUUUUUAGCAAAUACUGGAAACAAUCUAUCAAUUUUAGGAUGGCUAAUGAAAUUGAAUCUUAUGUCUUUAAUACUACACAUAUCAACAUUCAUGAAACUAAAACAUUUGAAAAAAAAAGAAUAUUGCAGAAAAAUGCAAAUAAUUCAGAAACAUGACAGAGUCUGUUGUUAAACACCCUACCAUGAACAGGAAAGUCCCUCACAACAAAUAAUUUUCUGACCCAAAUACUAAUACCAAUGAUCCUGAGAAACCUUUUCUAAGGAAAAGUGACAGUAUAAUGCCAAUUUCAGGAACACUUUUAAGGAAAGGAGAAGCAUAAUGAUUUUUCCUUUUACAUUUUCCUUUGUACUAGUACUCCCUUUAUUUAAAGUGUCAUUUUGCUGGUUUUCAUUCAUUUCACUUAUUGUUCUGUAUUCCUAAAAUUUGCAAAACUGUGUCAACCUGAUACAUCUAAAAUGUAUCUCCUGGGUUAAAUUAACAUUUGCCUGAUAAUCUAAUGAGUUUGAAUAUCUUUUCAUAUUUUAGAAUUCAUUCUUACUCUUUUUCUUUGAAAUGUUUAAUGUGCUGCUUAACACAUCCACUGAGUUUAGGAUUUAGUGUUUCAUUGCUAGAAGUACUUUCUGCUUUUUGGUAAACCCAUGAGGUCAAUUUUAUAGUAUCUUGUUCCUUUAUUGUGUCUUCAGUCUGCAUGUGUAUGAUUCUACACUUUUUAAAAGAUUGUCUUUUGUGAUGCUUGAUUUCUUCACCUUUUCUGUAAUAUUUGAUGAUCACAAAAACUUAGUGUUGUUUUAAGGCUACUAUGAGAGAAGAUGUGUAUACAUGUCAGUAUUAGGAUUACAUUACGGGAGCUACAAAUACCACAUCUGCCUCCUUCCACCAAGCCUUUUUAUAGGAAAAUAAAAGCUAAAGCUCAAAGUAUGAGAGAGGUCCUUUGGUAUUACCUCCAUGAAAAAGUUGCUAGUCAUCUGAGAACUUUAACUCCCGAGGAAUAGCAAUAAUUAUAUUGGUGAUAUAAAGUAAGCUCCUGUAUCAAUGUCUAUGCCUACUGUGAAUAUAUGAUGAAUUCACACAAUAAACCCUAGGAAAUCAAUUGAUAUUAUAGCUCAAACUAUUCCUAUAUACCAUGAGUAUUAUUCAUAUAUACUCAAAAUAUUUUAAUCUAUUAAUAUACAUAUUUCUGAAAAUCUUGUUGCUCAUUUUUAUAAGAUUUAUUAUCUAGUAUAAUGAAUGCAGAUUGCACUUAUAUUUAUUUAUAUGACAUCUAUAAGUAUUAGGUUAAUGUUUCUAAAGCCAGGUAUAGUGCUGCCCAACUAUUAUUCCAGCAUUUUGGGAUGCUGCCGUGGAAGAUCACAAGUUGGAGCCCAGCCCGGGCAACUUAGUGACUUAGUAAGAACCUGUGUUGAAAAAAAAGUAGAAAAAGAAUUUGAGAUGUAACUAAGUGUAAAGAUCCUGGGUUCAGCCCCUACUACAGGGGUAAAAGAACGAUUGCUGAAAACAGAUGAAAAAGUAGAAAACUUUUCAUGUAUGAGAGACUUUAGAAACUUACUUUCAUGUAUGAUCUAUUCACAGUCUACAUGUAAAUCUGAUGUUACAGUUGAACAGAUUCAGACAGUGCUUAGAGAUAGGAGAACAUUUGGGGAAAGGGCGGGAAUAUGCUUUAAAACAGGAGUAUGGAAUUAACUUCUGACAAUGUGAGGCAAUGUUAAGAUUCCACUUACUUGUCCAAAAUAUUUUGUCUAGCACUUCUUCUUUUACUCAGCAUGGCCUAAAGCUCAAACGACUGUAGAAAUCUCAAGAUUAAAUAUCCAAAUGAGAAUUUGUUUGGAGAAAGGCCAGAGCUCUUUCCUGUGUAACAUAAGUGCGUCCACAUUAGUCUUCUCUGCAAUCUAGCUCCUUGAGACUGUCCUAGGUUUUAAUCCCCAGUUAAAAAAAAAAAAAAUCUAGUUAAAGCAAAAUACACUAAAAUUUCUUCAAGCAAAAACAAGGUCUAUACCUGCAACAUAAAUUUAUUUUACACAUGCACAAGAGUUAUUAAAGAUACAGAUUUAUAGUUGAUAGCUAAUGCGAGUGGGGUUAAAGAAUUAAAGUCAGAAAAGAGGAAUCCAACAGCUAGGUGGAAUUAUUCUUUCCAGCAAUAUGCUGCAAAAAUAAAUACCAAAACAGAAAUAAAUACUGCAGUUUGUACAAUUUCAAAUGAAUUCCAAAUAUGACAAAGUAAAAACAAAAAUAAUAGGGAUAAUUUAGGAAUUGUUAAGUAUAUGAGAGCUUAUGCACAGUGCCAAUAGUUUUAAUUACAACAAAAGCAUGUGGAUAUUUUUGUGCCCUACGCCUCUAUCUUACAGUGAAAAUUUCCUGUGUAAAUAGUAUAAUGUCUAAAAUAGAAAAGUAACUUCUGCUGUUCUCAAGUGAAAUGAAGAAAAUCAAUAAUUAAUCAAUUUUGUUAGAGAGAUUCAAACUGACUUAGCAAAUAAACUCCAAAUAUUUUAUCGUGCUCUCUGGAUAUCUUAUUAACAGGAGUCUUUCCUCAAUCACAUGAUAAAAACUUCCCUAUUAUUGAUAUUUUCAUUUCUUAAGAUCUCAGUCAUUAUACGUUUCCUUAUCAGACAGGGAAGAAGAACAAGGAGACAAAGAUUCCUAGAAAGCUUUGGCCAAAAAGAGACACAGACUACUUGCAAACUCAUUUCUUCCAUUUCCUGAUUUUCCUGGGCCACCACAAGUAAUUCUCAGCAUUCGGUGUAUAUCUUGUCCUCAACUUUAUUUAUUUUUUUACAUGGUUUUGACUCAUUUACUUACUUGGUCCUCUUCUAAUUUCAGCAACCUCAACACCCUUUUGAUCAAUACUCUUGGAAAACAUGCAUCAGUUCAUAUAUUUGUAUGUAUAUUUGUAUUCAUAUAUUUGUAACUUACUUUUAUAAUGCUUCACCUCCGCAUCUGACCAUCACAACACUUGAAGGUCUUGCCAUAUACAUUUUAAUAAAGAGGAAAGAAAGGCCAGAGAUUAAGUACUGCUCCAUUUUUAUAAGUAAUGUAGACUAAAUAUAAAAUUGGUAAAGCUUAAGCUCUUCUAUCUACAGAAUAAUUGAUUCAGGCCUCAAGAAUAUGUUAAAUAUAAUCAAAAAUAUUACCUUUGACUCUCUAUGCUUUUCUAUUCUCACCCAUCACACACAGAGCUACCUCAACACAUUGGAAAACAAAUUGCCAACAUCAGCAAUGAUAUUUUGAAUCUCCCUCCCCUGAUGUUGUUAGUUAGACAGGAUAUACACACGUAUCUUUACUCAUGGGAGUUUUAUUUGAAAUUCCUUAAAAGGUGGUCAUUAAAAGCUGAAGAGAGAAAGAGGAACUCUUUAAGAAAUACUGUAUUUGUCCCUGUGGAUUUGCACCCCUGAAAGCUAUUUGGGGACAUCUUGGUGGCCUCAAUGACAUUUUUAAAGUCAACUUUCAAAAGACAAAUUUGGUGCUAUGUAUUUUUGAGGUACAUAGAAAUCUAAGUGCCAUUUUCUAAUACCAGAAUAUAUCUUAGGGAAGCUCAUGGAUUUAGAAAUACUUUGAUAGUGCCAUCUAGUGAAUGAAAUUCAGCAAUCUAUUUCAAAUAAUCUGUUUGGUUAAAGACAAAAGGGAAAGUAACGCUGUUCCUAAUAUAAUGAAUUUCCAUCUUUCUGGUGCUGAAAGUAUUUUAUCACUUUAGCAUGUCCUUCUUUGUUGGAUUUUUUGAAUGUCACACAAUGCUUUCAAGAAUAACAGCGAAAGGUAGGUUGCUUUUACUUUGUACAAAAUUCUAGUAAUAACUUCAUUGCAUUCCUGAGAGAGCCACUGGAGAUAAAUAGCUCUGUCAAACACAUCUGCUAGCAUUCUUUAAUAAUCUCAGACAUGCAAUCACUCAAAACAUGAGGGGAAAGAAGACUAGGUUAUGAAAGUACGCUUGCUGAUCCUGAGGGUUAAGCCUCAUAUGACGCCCUGGAAGGUUCAGCUGUGAAAUCACUGUCUGCCUCUCCACAGUAACAAGACUGUAAAAUGUUUGGAACAAAGGAUAUCGAUGGUGAUCUUAUUAGAAGAAGAGAAUAACAGCAUAUACCUAGAGAAGGAUAAAAGGUUUUCAAAUACUUAUUUUAAUGCAGAAAGUGAAUAAAAUACUAUAUCUAAUUAUUAUAUUAAAUAUUUGUAAUGCUCAAACUAAUGGAAGUCAUUUUUAUUAAGAAUUAUAACAUUCCUGUUACAGUCAAAGGCCUUCAAUAAAAAUAAAUAAUGCAGUAAGUCUACAUUUAAUCCUUAUAUUGUCUUCCUGCUCACAUGAUCAUAUGGAACAUACAUAUACAUAUUGUGCUUUUAUGUUCUAAUAACCUUUAUCAUCAUUUUUUAUUUCGUAUGUUUUUUGGCCAUAUAUUUACACUUAGCAUCCACUAAAGGAUAAAUUGAGAUACCUUGAUUCCAAUUUCCAUAUGCUCUAUUCUUUUAUGGCCUUCCUUCUCUAGCUUAUUGUUUAUUUUUUCUGCACAAAUAAGCUGUACUUACGUUAAUCUAACAGGGUUACUUGAUCUGAUUUACAGUCCUAUUGAGUAUGAGAGCUGUGAAAAUGUCUGAAGUUAUCACUGAGGGAAUGGUACUAGGCACAUACUACACAGUAGCUACUAGGUAGAAUACGAAAGGCCAUUCCUCUGAACAUUGUCCUCACAGUCAUGUUUAGUCUUGCUAAGCAGCAUCUACUCCUUCAAUUUCAUUGGAGCUUUCAAUAUCUUGUGCAAAAUGUUGCCUGAUGCAUCUUUCAUAAGUGUUCAGGAAUGUUCUGCAUUAUCUUUACUGGGAGAAAAAGAGCAACAGAAGAUGUAUGGAGUUUGCCUUUUGGCAUAUUUAUUGAGUGACGCAUGGGGACAGGAGCAUGUGAUGCCUCAUUGCUUCAUCUCUGAUCCCGACUCAAGACCUGCAGUGCCCAGGGCUGCUUGAGAUGGGCUGAUGAAUGUGUGAAGUUGAGAAAAUCAUCUUGGGAUGACUAGGAUAGCCUAAGUCAUGCGUGAAAGUUUUCAUUAUUAUAGAUUUGUCCUCAGAUGCAUUUGCCCUUGAAGAUGUGUCCUUUUUCUUUGUUUUGAAAUUUUAGAUUUUUGACUUUGAAGCACUCUUCAGGCAGUUAAUCAAAAGCUGUUAUUUCUGGUACUCUGAACUUCUAUUUCUCCCACAGAUGGCAUUAUAAUACAAAUAAAGAAAAUGGAGAAAUUAAUCACUUAGCCCAAGGCACCAUCUAUUUUCAUUUUUCACUUGUAUCAGUCUCCACCUUUUCCAAACUAUAUUAAGUGUAGAGAUAAAUGUAUUCAUAUUGUGAUUACAGAAGUGCAUCCUGUGCCUUUCAAAUGUAUUAUCAUUUAUUUUGCCAUGUGUACACUUCUGGUCAUUUAUCUGUUUGCUCCUAUUUCUCCAUAAAUAUCUGCUAUUAUUCCUCUAGCUAUACCUUUUCUUUCUAUCUGCAAUUGGUAGUUUUAAUUUAGAUGCACAUGUUUUAAGGAUGAUCCAAAAACUUACAGUUCCUCACCACUGCUUAGCUGACUCAAAAUGUCCACUCUGGUAUCCAAGAUAUCAUUGGUAGGCUGAUGUUAACAAUGCAAACACAAUUUCCAUUUCAGCAUCAUGUCUAUCAGCCACACCUGAUACCACUUAAUUUCUAGAUCUAUUUGGAAGAAAAUGCUUAUGAUUCAGUAUAUUGUUUUGAUUGACUUGUAAGUGCC